rnacentral:rRNA from 1 species
AACGCGAAGAACCUUACCUGGGCUUGAACCGCUACUGACCAACGGUAGAAAUAUCGUCUUCCCGCAAGGGACAGUAGUAGAGGUGCUGCAUGGCUGUCGUCAGCUCGUGCCGUGAGGUGUUGGGUUAAGUCCCGCAACGAGCGCAACCCUUACUCGUAGUUGCUACCCGCAAGGGAGAACUCUACGAGGACUGCUCCGGAUAACGGAGAGGAAGGUGGGGAUGACGUCAAGUCAGCACGGCCUUUAUGUCCAGGGCUACACACGUGUUACAAUGCAUGGUACAGACUGUUGCGAACCCGCGAGGGGGAGCUAAUCGGACAAAGCCAUGCUCAGUUCGGAUUGCAGUCUGCAACUCGGCUGCAUGAAGCUGGAAUCGCUAGUAAUGGCGUAUCAGAUCGACGCCGUGAAUACGUUCCCGGGCCUUGUA